CCUACGGGGGGCAGCAGUGGGGAAUAUUGCACAAUGGGGGAAACCCUGAUGCAGCGACGCCGCGUGAGUGAAGAAGUAAUUCGUUAUGUAAAGCUCUAUCAGCAGGGAAGAAAAUGACCGUACCUGAGUAAGAAGCCCCGGCCAAAUAAGUGCCCGCAGCCGCGGUAAUACGGAGGGGGCAAGCGUUAUCCGGAUUUACUGGGUGGAAAGGGAGCGUAGACGGGAGAGCAAGUCUGGAGUGAAAGGCCGGGGCUCAACCGCAGAACUGCACUUAAAAACUGUAGGCUGGAGUACAGGAGAGGUAAGUGGAAUUCCUAGUGUAGCGGUGAAAUGCGUAGAUAUUAGGAGGAACACCAGUGGCGAAGGCGGCUUACUGGACUGUAACUGACGUUGAGGCUCGAAAGCGUGGGGAGCAAACAGGAUUAGAUACCCCAGUAGUC
rnacentral:rRNA from 1 species